rnacentral:rRNA from 1 species
CGAAAGCCUGAUGCAGCCAUGCCGCGUGUAUGAAGAAGGCCUUCGGGUUGUAAAGUACUUUCAGUUGUGAGGAAGGGGGUAACGUUAAUAGCGUUAUCUCUUGACGUUAGCAACAGAAGAAGCACCGGCUAACUCCGUGCCAGCAGCCGCGGUAAUACGGAGGGUGCGAGCGUUAAUCGGAAUUACUGGGCGUAAAGCGCAUGCAGGUGGUUCAUUAAGUCAGAUGUGAAAGCCCGGGGCUCAACCUCGGAACUGCAUUUGAAACUGGUGAACUAGAGUGCUGUAGAGGGGGGUAGAAUUUCAGGUGUAGCGGUGAAAUGCGUAGAGAUCUGAAGGAAUACCAGUGGCGAAGGCGGCCCCCUGGACAGACACUGACACUCAUAUGCGAAAGCGUGGGGAGCAAACAGGAUUAGAUACCCUGGUAGUCCACGCCGUAAACGAUGUGUACUUUGAGGGUGUGGGCCUUAACCCGCGCCUGUUUUUGGUAAACCGUUAAGUAGACCGCCUGGGGAGUACUGUCUCAAGAUUAAAACUCAAAUGAAUUGACGGGGGCCCG